GCCCCGAUGGCCGAGUGGUUAAGGCGUGAGGCGUGGUCGGUCUCAUUGGGUAACCAGUCGCGGGUUCGAAUCCCGCUCGGGGCA
rfam:Caenorhabditis brenneri strain PB2801 C_brenneri-6.0.1_Cont20.34, whole genome shotgun sequence.